AUUGAACGCUGGCGGCAGGCUUAACACAUGCAAGUCGAGCGGAGAUGAGGUGCUUGCACCUUAUCUUAGCGGCGGACGGGUGAGUAAUGCUUAGGAAUCUGCCUAUUAGUGGGGGACAACAUUCCGAAAGGAAUGCUAAUACCGCAUACGUCCUACGGGAGAAAGCAGGGGAUCUUCGGACCUUGCGCUAAUAGAUGAGCCUAAGUCGGAUUAGCUAGUUGGUGGGGUAAAGGCCUACCAAGGCGACGAUCUGUAGCGGGUCUGAGAGGAUGAUCCGCCACACUGGGACGGAGACAGGGCCCAGACUCCUACGGGAGGCAGCAAUGGGGAAUAUUGGACAAUGGGGGGAACCCUGAUCCAGCCAUGCCGCGUGUGUGAAGAAGGCCUUAUGGUUGUAAAGCACUUUAAGCGAGGAGGAGGCUACUGAGACUAAUACUCUUGGGUAGUGGACGUUACUCGCAGAAUAAGCACCGGCUAACUCUGUGCCAGCCGCCGCCGUAA
rnacentral:rRNA from 1 species